UUAGAAGCAAGAUAACAGUGACAGUUAAAAAACAAUUGCACAAGCAUUAUGUCCCGUGAAAACUAGUCUUACUCAUAGCUAUAUUCUCUAACCGUCCCCAAGCCGUACCAGUGUUGUCCCCGUGAAGUACCCGUCCCUGAAACGUUUCCGGUACCGGUACGGCAUCUAAAUAGAAGUCCCCGUGCUACAUAGAUAGAUAGAGCCAUAAACGGUACUGGCCAUUAUUGUCUUGUGGGGUGGGAAAGGCAUGGACGUCAAUUAUUGUACGUUUCUUUCUCAAUCAUUCAUGCGUUCAUUCAUUUCUACCAAAACGUUGAAAUCUUUUGUUUUUUCUUUGUUUACUUUUUAAUGCCACUGUAUAUUUCAAUCUUGUAAAUGAAAUUAUACUGAUUACGACCUCUCCACUAAUUCACUUAUCUAUUAUUAUAAAAUAGAAUUCUCUUUAAACGCGUGACAUGAUGAGUUUUCUUUGUUUUUUACCUGUUGGGUUCUACGUAUGAUUGCUCUAUCCGACCAAAGACGAUGCGGCUUGCCCUCUAACCCUUAUUUCUCGAUCGACGAUUUGCAGAUUGUCUGCGACCUUGACUCUCUGACGUCUUAUCUUCCUCUCGCCAUUUGAAACGGUCCGAGUAAUGGCGUCGUGUUCUUAUUGCUUCUUUGAUUUGUUUUUACAUUGUAUCUGAGGGGCAUGAGAGUUUCUGAGAGCUAUAGAUAGUAAGAGAGGAGAGAAUGAAUGGUGGUGAUGAGGUUGGAGCUUCGUCGUUUUAAAUUGGAGAUUCUCUCGGGUUUUUGGUGAAGGAAGUGCUGGUGAAGAAGUUCAAGAAGGUCCAGAAGAAGCACAAAUAUGAUGAUUUGAAACCCAAUAGACCAUAAAAGAAGGAUGAGGAAGAUAGAGGGAAAUCAAAGAAAUCACUUUUUAUAAAAGUCUAUAGUGCAUGGAUUUAUGUCAUAUGAUGUUGCUCGGAUAUUGAAUCGUCCUCACCACAGCUCAGUUGUGGCUUAUCUCAGCCGAGAAUAUAGGAAAAGACGAUGCUAGUCCAUCCCGAAAAGUACGGAUAGUGAGAUAGUAGUUGAAGCUUUUAAGAACUGCAGAACCCAUAUGACGUAAUGAUUGUGGUUCAUCAUUUGUAUUGGUGCAUCGAGAUCCUCCAUCUCUGAUCUCACUAGCUGUUUUCUAUUGGUUAUCAAGAUGGCAAAAGGAGAACCUCCCCUAGCUGACCUUCAUCCUAUGAGAGUGCUUUUUAUCAUUCCUCGAGAAAAUCCUCCUCAGUUAGACGAGCACUUUUCCCGUCCAGUGAAGGAGUUUGUUUCAUUAUCCUUUACAAAAGUCCCUGCUGAGGAGGAUGAUAAAGCUGAGGCUCCGGAGGAUGAGAUGGUUGUGAAAGGGCAUGAUGUAGAGAAGAAACAUAAUUGGAACCAGAGUUUGAAAAACAGAAGGAGAGGAAGCAGAAAGCUUUGAAGGAGAAAGAGAUGGAUAAUGCUGCAUACAAUUAUUUCGAAACUUCUAGUAAGCCUUACUCCAAAAAGGCAUUAGGGAGAAACAGAAACAGGAAGAGGUGAAGCGUUUAAAUAAGGGGGCUGCUGAGACAGAGAGGAAUCACAUAGAAGAAUAAGAAGAAUAGACCCAGGAGAGAACAUAGCCUCAAGCUUCAUAGAGAGAGAGUCUGCUAGACUGAGAAUGAGACAAGAAAAGGCACUUAUCUUGACGGAUCUGAGAAAGGACCUGAUGCUAUACAUGUUAGUUCUCUUUUCUUUGACACCCAUUACUUAUACUUAGCUUAUUAAAGGUCAAACUAUUACUUUCUAUGCAAAGCAGUCAAUCUAAUUGUUUAUGCUCUGUUGGGAUUCAGAACUUUGUGAUAGUAUACAAAAUUAAUUUUUAUCAAGUCU